AAAACGACUCUCGGCAACGGAUAUCUCGGCUCUCGCAUCGAUGAAAAACGUAGCGAAAUGCGAUACUUGGUGUGAAUUGCAGAAUCCCGUGAACCAUCGAGUCUUUGAACGCAAGUUGCGCCCGAAGCCUUCGGGCCGAGGGCACGUCUGCCUGGGCGUCACGC
rnacentral:rRNA from 1 species